CCUUUUUCCGGGUGAAAGUGCAUUCUCUCUCUCUUCCGGUCUCCGUUGUUGAGGAGCUUCCUGCAUUGCGGGAUGAGGGCCAAGUGGCGAAAGAAGCGCAUGCGCAGACUGAAGCGUAAAAGGAGAAAGAUGAGGCAGAGGUCUAAGUAAAUCCAUGCCAUUCAAACCUGUUGGCAGGACCUGAUUUAAACUCUGAAUUCAGAAGCUUCUGGAACUCUGACCCUUUGAUUUCACCCCUUAAAAAAAAAAAAUGUUCAGUCUUUGGUCUUUUCAUUUGAUAUGCCACAAUAAAAAUGUAUCCUCCAAACUCUGAAGAAGGGGAAAAGUC